rnacentral:tRNA from 3 species
UAGGUAGAAGCUCGUAGGUUGGAGCACCUAGCUGUUAACUAGGGUUUUAUGGGAUCAAGGCCCAUCUAUCUAG